CGCCUUGCCAGCCCGCUCAGAACUUAAAGGAAUUGACGGGGGCCCGCACAAGCGGUGGAGCAUGUGGUUUAAUUCGAUGAUACGCGAGGAACCUUACCUGGGCUCAAAUGUAUGUUGACGUAUUCUGAAAGGGAUACUUCUUCGGACAAUAUACAAGGUGCUGCAUGGUUGUCGUCAGCUCGUGCCGUGAGGUGUCGGGUUAAGUCCCAUAACGAGCGCAACCCCUAUCAUUAGUUGCCAUCAGGUUAAGCUGGGGACUCUAAAGGAACUGCCUACGCAAGUAGUGAGGAAGGCGGGGAUGACGUCAAAUCAGCACGGCCCUUACGUCCAGGGCUACACACGUGCUACAAUGGCCGAUACAGAGGGCAGCUACCUGGUGACAGGAUGCAAAUCUCCAAAGUCGGUCUCAGUUCGGAUCGGAGUCUGCAACCCGACUCCGUGAAGUUGGAUUCGCUAGUAAUCGCGCAUCAGCCAUGGCGCGGUGAAUACGUUCCCGGGCCUU
rnacentral:rRNA from 1 species